rnacentral:rRNA from 1 species
AAUGAACGUUGGCGGCAUGGAUUAGGCAUGCAAGUCGUACGUGUGUAGCAAUACAUGCGUGGCGGAAGGGACAGUAAUAUGUAGAUAUCAACCCCUCGGCCGGGGAUAACCACGGGAAACUGUGGAUAAUACCCGAUAAUGUUUCCGAACCAAAGGUGUAAUUCCACCGGGGGACGAGUCUGCACCCUAUUAGCUUGUUGGCGAGGUAAUGGCUCACCAAGGCGAUGAUGGGUAGCGGGUGUGAGAGCACGACCCGCGUCACUGGGACUGAGAACUGCCCAGACACCUACGGGUGGCUGCAGUCGAGGAUUUUUGGCAAUGAGCGCAAGCUUGACCAAGCGAUGCCGCGUGCGGGAUGAAGGCCUUCGGGUUGUAAACCGCUGUCAGUGUGGAGGAAAAUUUGGUGUAGAGCCAAGUUUGACUAAUACGCAGAGGAAGUGAGGGCUAAACUCGUGCCAGCCGCCGCCGUAAAAC